rnacentral:rRNA from 1 species
UACGAAGGGGCUAGCGUUGCUCGGAAUCACUGGGCGUAAAGCGCACGUAGGCGGCUUUUUAAGUCAGGGGUGAAAUCCUGGAGCUCAACUCCAGAACUGCCUUUGAUACUGAGAAGCUUGAGUCCGGGAGAGGUGAGUGGAACUGCGAGUGUUAGAGGUGAAAUUCGUAGAUAUUCGCAAGAACACCAGUGGCGAAGGCGGCUCACUGGCCCGGUACUGACGCUGAGGUGCGAAAGCGUGGGGAGCAAACAGGG